GGAUCCAGACUUUGAUUCUGGCUCAGGAUGAACGCUAGCUACAGGCUUAACACAUGCAAGCCGAGGGGAAACGAUAUUGGAAGCUUGCUUCCGAUAGGCGUCGACCGGCGCACGGGUGAGUAACGCGUAUCCAACCUGCCCACCACUUGGGGAUAACCUUGCGAAAGUAAGACUAAUACCCAAUGAUAUCUCUAGAAGACAUCUGAAAGGGAUUAAAGAUUUAUCGGUGAUGGAUGGGGAUGCGUCUGAUUAGCUUGUUGGCGGGGUAACGGCCCACCAAGGCUACGAUCAGUAGGGGUUCUGAGAGGAAGGUCCCCCACAUUGGAACUGAGACACGGUCCAAACUCCUACGGGAGGCAGCAGUGAGGAAUAUUGGUCAAUGGACGAGAGUCUGAACCAGCCAAGUAGCGUGCAGGAUGACGGCCCUAUGGGUUGUAAACUGCUUUUAUAAGGGAAUAAAGUGAGCCUCGUGAGGCUUUUUGCAUGUACCUUAUGAAUAAGGACCGGCUAAUUCCGUGCCAGCAGCCGCGGCAAUACGGAAGGUCCGGGCGUUAUCCGGAUUUAUUGGGUUUAAAGGGAGCGUAGGCCGGAGAUUAAGCGUGUUGUGAAAUGUAGAUGCUCAACAUCUGCACUGCAGCGCGAACUGGUUUCCUUGAGUACGCACAAAGUGGGCGGAAUUCGUGGUGUAGCGGUGAAAUGCUUAGAUAUCACGAAGAACUCCGAUUGCGAAGGCAGCUCACUGGAGCGCAACUGACGCUGAAGCUCGAAAGUGCGGGUAUCGAACAGGAUUAGAUACCCUGGUAGUCCGCACGGUAAACGAUGGAUGCCCGCUGUUGGUCUGAAUAGGUCAGCGGCCAAGCGAAAGCAUUAAGCAUCCCACCUGGGGAGUACGCCGGCAACGGUGCAACUCAAAGGAAUUGACGG
rnacentral:rRNA from 1 species